UACGGAGGGUGCAAGCGUUAUCCGGAUUCACUGGGUUUAAAGGGUGCGUAGGCGGGCAAGUAAGUCAGUGGUGAAAUCUCCGGGCUUAACCUGGAAACUGCCGUUGAUACUAUUUGUCUUGAAUGUCGUGGAGGUAGGCGGAAUAUGUCAUGUAGCGGUGAAAUGCUUAGAUAUGACAUAGAACACCAAUUGCGAAGGCAGCUUACUACACGAUGAUUGACGCUGAGGCACGAAAGCGUGGGGAUCAAACAGG
rnacentral:rRNA from 1 species